CUCAUUUAAGGCUGAGUCGACCUAAGGGAUGCCCAGCACUGGUUUAGAUCAUCGUCACUGGUGUUGGCUGUGAGUGAGACUCGAACUCGGAUGGCCAGAUAGGCAAUUUGCCCUUCUGAAGAGGACCUUUGAAAUCAAGUUGUGCCGUUUCACAAACCCCCCACCCCUUACCCCUGGUGCCCAGCUGUUGUGGAGUCGCCCCACGUCUUCGGAGGACCGAACACAAAGCUUGCGCGUGCCAAUGGAGCCCCUGCAGAUGUUGGGCGCCUCUCAUCCCACGCCUCCUCACUUCUCUCCCUGCUCCUCCACUCCGCGAGAUGCCCUCGGCAAAACUGUGCAGACAAACGGUUUGAGAAACUGCUGGAAAUUCGAACACGGCGGUCGUUUCGUGUCGUCUGCCGGCGUGAAGGUGCGCGCAACACAUUGUCGGUUGGCCCUGAUCGAGGAGGCUUUGGCCAACUGUUUCGUCGUGCUGCGCAGUUUCUCACGAAAGUCAUCAACGCCGAGCCAAGUUGAGCCCCUUCCCGAUUUUCACGCACCCAGGAGGGGGGGAGAGGGCCGAGCGCGUUCCGUGGGGCGUUAAGCGAAAGCAAGGGUUUACGACGGGAGGGCCUGGGCCUAGCCAUCCGUCUCCCGCCUUCAUAAAGUCCUCAGCCUUGUAUCUCACCCAACUUAUCGAUUCCACAUUAUCAUUUGUCACGGGUCGCACUAAGUCAAGGGGAAAAUACAGACCUUAUUUUUUUGUUUCCGACCACCCCCAUCCCAUCCCACUCUCUGAGAACACAGGCUGUGUGGGAAGCAAAUUAUUUGUCGUUUCUUUUGGGGGUCCCCCGUGAUUGCGCCUUGAUUAAAAUAGAAGCAUCGUGUUAUCCGUAGCAAGGUCGCCUAGUGCACGAGAUGAUCUAGACUCUAGAGUCAAUCAAAUUUCAGGUAAAUUGUACAUUAAGCCUGAGUCGAAUGAAUAUAUUUGUAUAUUUUGUUGGGUUUACAUGGUGCGCAAAUUUAGGUUUUUAUUAUGGAAAAAGUUAAAUAGAUAGACUGGUAUUCUAGGUUGGGUCCCGAUGAGAUUGACUUUCAUAAGAGACAAUUAUUUUUUAUAAUCGAUAACAUUACCAGUUGCAGUAGUUCAAAGGCAUGGUGGUUUGCACACUGCGCUAAUAAUCCAAUGACAUAGGUUCGAUUACUGGCACGGCUAACGUCAGUGGCGAGUGAUGUCUGAGCUGGCCCUGGGUCCACCAACCCGCACUGACCAGUGUGGUAAAGUAUGGUCACACGACCCCCCCAUCAUUUACAUGCCCUAAGUAAAGCCUUCAUGCAGUCGUGAAUUGACAAGGGACUGUAAAUAAUAGCGAAAUGGACCGUCCCCAAAGAUGCGGUAUAAAAUCAUAUCUGUUAAAUUUGAAAAUGUUUUUCAUUUGUUUUAAAUAAAACUCAUGUUAGUCACUUCCUACGUAAUUGUUAGUCAUUAAGUUCAUCCAGAGCACGGCUGAAUUUGGCUAGGAUGUUUAAAAUUGGUAUUUUAAUGACUAAACAACAUGCGGAAAACCUCAGGAAUCAUAGUUUCGUUAUUUAAAAAUUCUACACAAAUCUAUUAUAUUUUCGCCAAAUUACACAUUGUGUUUGAAUGUGUGUACAUGUAUGUAUCAACGUUGUUUUGUGUUUCCGCUAAAUGGCUCAGAAGAAUUCCUUCCCGAAAAAGCAAAAGCGCUGGCAGCUCAAAUUUGUGAUCGCACGACCAUCAUCAACCUUGAUUCGUCAAAUUGCGUGAAAUUUUGCAGGUGGACCUCGUGAGGCGGUGUGUCCUGGGGGUUAAAGAGGGGCUCGGGCGAGCGUUAGUACCGGUCUCUUCGA